rnacentral:rRNA from 1 species
AUUGAACGCUAGCGGGAUGCUUUACACAUGCAAGUCGAACGAGUGGCGGACGGGUGAGUAUUAUAUCGGAACGUGCCCAUUAGCGGGGGUUAACUACUCGAAAGAGUUGCUAAUACCGCCUACUAUUGCAUCGGCCGAUAUCGGAUUAGCUAGUUGGUGGGGUAAAGGCUCACAAAGGCAACGAUCCGUAGCUGGUUUGAGAGGACGACCAGCCACACUGGGACUGAGACACGGGCCAGACUCCUACGUGAGGCAGCAGUGGGGAAUUUUGGACAAUGGGGGAAACCCUGAGCCAGCCAUCCCGCGUGUAUGAGAAGGCCUUCGGGUUGUAAAGUACUUUAGGCGGAGAAGCGGUAUCUGCAGAAUAAGCACCGGCUAACUACGUGCCAGCAGCCGCGGUAAUUC